rnacentral:rRNA from 1 species
CAAGUCGAGCGGCAGCGCGGGGCAACCUGGCGGCGAGCGGCGAACGGGUGAGUAAUACAUCGGAACAUGUCCAUUUGUGGGGGAUAGCCCGGCGAAAGCCGGAUUAAUACCGCAUGAGCCCGAGAGGGGAAAGUGGGGGACCGCAAGGCCUCACGCGAAUGGGUUGGCCGAUGUCCGAUUAGCUAGUUGGUGGGGUAAAGGCCCACCAAGGCGAUGAUCGGUAGCUGGUCUGAGAGGAUGAUCAGCCACACUGGGACUGAGACACGGCCCAGACUCCUACGGGAGGCAGCAGUGGGGAAUUUUGGACAAUGGGGGCAACCCUGAUCCAGCCAUUCCGCGUGAGUGAAGAAGGCCUUCGGGUUGUAAAGCUCUUUUGUCCGGAGCGAAAAGGUUACGGUGAAUAUCCGUGACUACUGACGGUACCGGAAGAAUAAGCACCGGCUAACUACGUGCCAGCAGCCGCGGUAAUACGUAGGGUGCGAGCGUUAAUCGGAAUUACUGGGCGUAAAGCGUGCGCAGGCGGUUUUGUAAGCCAGAUGUGAAAUCCCCGGGCUUAACCUGGGAAUGGCAUUUGGGACUGCAAGGCUGGAGUGCGGCAGAGGAGACUGGAAUUCCUGGUGUAGCAGUGAAAUGCGUAGAUAUCAGGAGGAAUACCGAUGGCGAAGGCAGGUCUCUGGGCUGACACUGACGCUCAUGCACGAAAGCGUGGGGAGCAAACAGGAUUAGAUACCCUGGUAGUCCACGCCCUAAACGAUGUCGACUGGUUGUUGGGGGGUUUGACACUCUCAGUAACGAAGCUAACGCGUGAAGUC